ensembl:lncRNA
UGGAGACUCGGUGAGGCCUCUUCUGCAUGUUUAAUGCCUCUUCUUUCCACUCUUACCAUUUCUCUCUACACUAACAAAUGGCACCUGAUUCUUACUCUGAUUUCAUCUUGUGCUGCAGGAUACACCCGAUUACGUCGCUUAUGUGGCCAAAGACCCUGUCAAUCAAAGAGCAUGUCACAUCCUGGAGUGCUGUGACGGUCUCGCUCAGAAUGUGAUCAGUACCAUCGGCCAGGCUUUCGAACUGCAGUUCAAACAGUACCUACACAGCCCACCCAAAGCAAUUCCCACCAUGGAUAGGUGAGAGUCACAUAAUUUCGCAGAAACCAUAUUGUCUCUUUGGGCUUUUGAAUGCAUCACAACAUGAAAAUUAUGGUAGCUGCUUCAUUGUUUCACCUGCAGUUAAUACUGAGCUUCAGUUCUGAGCAGUUUUCGCAAGGUUGAAACAGGAUACACACGGCUUGUGUUUCAUAUAGCCAUCCUGUUUUGAUUCCAGGCCGUUAUUCAAAGCUAAAUUCAUUUAAGGGGCUCUCAGAAACCACACGACUGCUCAGUGACACAUCAUUAAUGGAUCAUUUCUUUCAUUUUGUUCUGUUUCAAAUCAUCGUUGUAACAUGCGCUUUCUUGACUUUAAUAUAAACAGUCUUCCAAAACCUAGUAGGCUGCCUUGUAGUCUACUUCCCUGUACUGGCAGCAUCCUAACCAAAACAGAAGUAAUGUGACUUAUUGUGACCCGCUAGACUAAGGCAACAGCUGUGUGUGUGCUGUUAGCAUGUUGCUAAGCUAACAAUAUCAAACUCUAAAGGUGCAAAAGAGGUCCAUUUCCGAUUGUCAAUAGUGUAGCUAUGUUUAAAGCACAUCUCACACACAAACACACAUAUUUUUAAAUUGGUUAAUUUGGUGAGAUGUGAACUCAGCUUUAUAAUCGUUAAACAUAAAGCACACAUAAAUAUAGGUAAUAUUAUCAAUCUUUAAGUACACACUGCUAGAUAAACUGUUUUCUGUUGAUAUAUUUCAAUACCAAAUUAUUU